UAUCUCUGUAGAGUCUGCAUAUCAAUAAGCGGAGGAAAAGAAACUAACAAGGAUUCCCUUAGUAACGGCGAGUGAAGCGGGAAGAGCUCAAAUUUGAAAUCUUCAAGGUUCUACCUUGACGAAUUGUAGUUUAUAGAAGUGUUUUCUGUUAGUAGAGUGGCAAAAGUUCUUUGGAAUAGGACAUCAUAGAGGGUGAGAAUCCCGUAUUUGGUCAUUCUUUCUAGCUUUGUGAUACACUUUCAACGAGUCGGAUUGUUUGGGAAUGCAGUCCAAAAUGGGUGGUAAAUUUCAUCUAAAGCUAAAUAUUGGCGAGAGACCGAUAGUGAACAAGUACCGUGAGGGAAAGAUGAAAAGAACUUUGAAAAGAGAGUUAAACAGUACGUGAAAUUGUCAAAAGGGAAGCGUUUGACACCAGUGUUGUUUUUCCGAAAAUCAAUUACGAAUGUUUUGUUUUUGAGAAGUUAUGACUUCAUCGGCUUGCUUCUUUCUUUACGAAACUUUCUUAAUGCACUUUUCGGUUAACAAGUCAACAUCAAUUUCUUUUGCUGUAAAAGGGUACGAUUGGAAGGUGGCUUUCUUUUCGGAGAAAGUGUUUAUAGCCUUUGACUUCUGCAAUCGGAGAGAUUGAGGUCUGCAGCGUAGAUCCUUCGGGGUUAGAUACAUUUGUGCUAAGUUAUAGCCUUUUCAUAGACAACUUGUUGACUAUGAUCAGUCAUGUAGCUUACUCGCUUAUGUCUAUUUUACCUACGCUUAGGAUGUUGAGUAGCGACAUACGCAC
rnacentral:rRNA from 1 species